UUAUCAGUGUGGUUAAUCCUUACCUGGUUUUCCUUAUGGGGAAGCAGGCAUAAUGAAUGGAGGAGGAUGAGUGUGUGAUUACACCAAUCUCCCCACUGCUCUAAACUGACAACUCAGAGUGUUUCAUGUUCUGAG